AAAACAAAACAAAAAACAACUGAAAUGACAAUAUCUAAAGCAGUUUUUUAACAAAUUAUAUUAGUGUAGGCCUAUAAUCAUAUUGUGAUUACAUAUCAUACUGUGAUUUAUGUUCAUUUUGAAAUUAUUUUUUUUGUUAAGUUCACAAAACCACAAUCUCAUAAGUUAUUCUCGUAUUAUAUUUAAAAAUCCAAUCUUCGAAUUAAUGUAAUACUGGUACAUAACAUGGCAUGUAAAAUAAAAA